ACACUGCCAUGCCCUCAACAGUGUAGUUGGAGAAGAAGCACAGACCACAUUAAAUGCUCCUUCCAAGCAGUGUGUAAGCACAUGCCACUGUCCUGGAGUCCCAAUCAGGCUCUCUCCCCAGAUGCCUCCUUAGUGGGGAAACCCAUACAAGCAGCCCAACACCCCCACCACUCCCACCACCACCACUGCCACCUUGCUAAACCCCUGGUGCACACUAAACUGGGGCUCUGUGGAUGUGUGUUGGCCCUGUUGCCAUGACAACCAGUCACAGUGAAUAACAACAGUGACUUCAUUCUUGCCUGGAGGGCUGAGAAAAGCAUGGCACACAGAGGAAGAUGGGGUUUCUGGAGGUGGUGGGGAAAUGCAGAGCUAGGAAGACUGGCAUGGGAUUUUGAAAAU
rnacentral:lncRNA from 1 species